GAUGAACGCUAGCGGGAGGCCUAACACAUGCAAGCCGAGCGGUAUUGUUUCUUCGGAAAUGAGAGAGCGGCGUACGGGUGCGGAACACGUGUGCAACCUGCCUUUAUCUGGGGGAUAGCCUUUCGAAAGGAAGAUUAAUACUCCAUAAUAUAUUGAACGGCAUCGUUUAAUAUUGAAAGCUCCGGCGGAUAGAGAUGGGCACGCGCAAGAUUAGCUAGUUGGUGAGGUAACGGCUCACCAAGGCGAUGAUCUUUAGGGGGCCUGAGAGGGUGAUCCCCCACACUGGUACUGAGACACGGACCAGACUCCUACGGGAGGCAGCAGUGAGGAAUAUUGGUCAAUGGGUGCAAGCCUGAACCAGCCAUCCCGCGUGAAGGACGACUGCCCUAUGGGUUGUAAACUUCUUUUGUAUAGGGAUAAACCUACCCUCGUGAGGGUAGCUGAAGGUACUAUACGAAUAAGCACCGGCUAACUCCGUGCCAGCAGCCGCGGUAAUACGGAGGGUGCAAGCGUUAUCCGGAUUUAUUGGGUUUAAAGGGUCCGUAGGCGGACUUAUAAGUCAGUGGUGAAAGCCUGUCGCUUAACGAUAGAACUGCCAUUGAUACUGUAAGUCUUGAGUAUAUUUGAGGUAGCUGGAAUAAGUGGUGUAGCGGUGAAAUGCAUAGAUAUUACUUAGAACACCAAUUGCGAAGGCAGGUUACCAAGAUAUAACUGACGCUGAGGGACGAAAGCGUGGGGAGCGAACAGGAUUAGAUACCCUGGUAGUCCACGCCGUAAACGAUGCUAACUCGUUUUUGGGCUUUAGGGUUCAGAGACCAAGCGAAAGUGAUAAGUUAGCCACCUGGGGAGUACGCUCGCAAGGGUGAAACUCAAAGGAAUUGACGGGGGCCCGCACAAGCGGUGGAUUAUGUGGUUUAAUUCGAUGAUACGCGAGGAACCUUACCAAGACUUAAAUGGGAAUUGACAGCUUUAGAAAUAGAGCUUUCUUCGGACAAUUUUCAAGGUGCUGCAUGGUUGUCGUCAGCUCGUGCCGUGAGGUGUUAGGUUAAGUCCUGCAACGAGCGCAACCCCUGUCACUAGUUGCCAUCAUUCAGUUGGGGACUCUAGUGAGACUGCCUACGCAAGUAGAGAGGAAGGUGGGGAUGACGUCAAAUCAUCACGGCCCUUACGUCUUGGGCCACACACGUAAUACAAUGGCCGGUACAGAGGGCAGCUACACAGCGAUGUGAUGCAAAUCUCGAAAGCCGGUCUCAGUUCGGAUUGGAGUCUGCAACUCGACUCUAUGAAGCUGGAAUCGCUAGUAAUCGCGCAUCAGCCAUGGCGCGGUGAAUACGUUCCCGGGCC
rnacentral:rRNA from 1 species